GUCUACAGCCAUGCCACCUUGAACAAGCCCAAUCUUGUCUGAUCUCAGAGGCUAAGGAGGGUCAGGCCUGGUUAGUACUUGGAUAGGAGACCACCUAAGAAGACUGGGUGCUGCAGGCA
rnacentral:rRNA from 1 species